UACGUAGGGUGCAAGCGUGGUCCGGAAUUAUUGGGCGUAAAGAGCUCGUAGGCGGUUUGUCGCGUCUGGUGUGAAAAUCCAGGGCUUAACCCUGGACCUGCAUCGGGUACGGGCAGACUAGAGUGCGGUAGGGGAGAUCGGAAUUCCUGGUGUAGCGGUGAAAUGCGCAGAUAUCAGGAGGAACACCGGUGGCGAAGGCGGAUCUCUGGGCCGUAACUGACGCUGAGGAGCGAAAGCAUGGGGAGCGAACAGG
rnacentral:rRNA from 1 species